rnacentral:tRNA from 1 species
GCGCCCUUAGCUCAGGUGGAUAGAGCGACGGACUUCUAAUCCGAAGGUCGGGGGUUCGAGUCCCUCAGGGCGCACCA